rnacentral:rRNA from 1 species
GAUGAACGCUGGCGGCGUGCCUAAUACAUGCAAGUCGAGCGAACAGACGACUAGCUUGCUGCUCUGACGUUCGCGGCGGUCGGGAGAGUAACACGUGGCUACCCUACCUAUAAGACUAGGAUAACUUCGGGAAACCGGAGCCAAUACAGGACCAUAUAUUGCACCGCAAGGUUCAAUAGAGAAAGACGGUUCUUCUGUCACUUAUCGAUGGAUCCGCGCCGCAUUACCUAGUUGGUAAGGUAACGGCUUACCAAGGCAACGAUGCGUAGCCGACCUGAGAGAGUAAUCGGCCACACGGGAACUGAGACAGGGUCCAGACUCCUACGGGAGGCAGCAGUAGGGAAUCUUCCGCAAGGGGCGAAAGCCUGACGGGGCAACGCCGCGGGAGUGAUGAAGGUCUUCGGAUCGUAAAACUCUGUGAGUAGGGAAGAACAAAUGGGUAAGAAACUAUGCACGUCGUGACGGUACCUAAUCAGAAAGCCACGGCUAACUACGUG